CGGCCGCGUCGACCUGGCGGCGUGCCUAAUACAUGCAAGUAGAACGCUGAAGAGAGGAGCUUGCUCUUCUUGGAUGAGUUGCGAACGGGUGAGUAACGCGUAGGUAACCUGCCUUGUAGCGGGGGAUAACUAUUGGAAACGAUAGCUAAUACCGCAUAACAAUGGAUGACACAUGUCAUUUAUUUGAAAGGGGCAAUUGUUCCACUACAAGAUGGACCUGCGUUGUAUUAGCUAGUAGGUGAGGUAAUGGCUCACCUAGGCGACGAUACAUAGCCGACCUGAGAGGGUGAUCGGCCACACUGGGACUGAGACACGGCCCAGACUCCUACGGGAGGCAGCAGUAGGGAAUCUUCGGCAAUGGGGGCAACCCUGACCGAGCAACGCCGCGUGAGUGAAGAAGGUUUUCGGAUCGUAAAGCUCUGUUGUAAGUCAAGAACGGGUGUGAGAGUGGAAAGUUCACACUAUGACGGUAGCUUACCAGAAAGGGACG
rnacentral:rRNA from 1 species